rnacentral:tRNA from 1 species
GGUCGAUUAACUCAGUUGGUUAGAGUGCCGUACUAAUAAUGCGGACGUCAUGGGUUCGACCCCCAUAUUGACCA